rnacentral:sRNA from 1 species
GCGAUUCUCCUACGUCAGCCUCCUGAGUAGCUGGGACCACAGGUGUGCGCUACCAUGCCCAGCUAGUUUUUUGUAUUUUUUAUACAGACCGGGUUUCGCCAUGUUGCCCAGGCUGGUCUCAAACUCCUGAGCUCAAGCGAUCUGCCCGCCUCAGCCUCCCAAAGUGUUGGAAUUACAGGGGUGAGCUACCACGCUGGCCAAGAAUCACUUCUUAAUGCACUGUCCCCCGAUUAAGGGAGAAGCAGCAGCCAGCCCCCCGGCUCACACUCCGGGACCUGCAGAAUAAGAGCAGCAGCUGCAGCACCCCCAGCUCCAACGCCACCAGCCUUCUCCACACCGUGUCCCCAGAGCCCCCCAGGCCUCCGCAGCAGCCCGUACCAACCGAGCUCUCACUGGCCAGCAUCACUGUGCCCCUGGAGUCCAUCAAACCCAGCAACAUCCUGCCCGUGACUGUGUAUGACCAGCACGGCUUCCGCAUCCUCUUCCAUUUUGCCCGCGACCCACUGCCAGGGCGCUCCGACGUGCUGGUGGUGGUGGUUUCCAUGCUGAGCACCGCCCCCCAGCCCAUCCGCAACAUCGUGUUCCAGUCAGCUGUCCCCAAGGUUAUGAAGGUGAAGCUGCAGCCACCCUCGGGCACGGAGCUGCCGGCUUUUAACCCCAUCGUCCACCCCUCAGCAAUCACCCAGGUCCUGCUGCUUGCCAACCCCCAGAAGGAGAAGGUUCGCCUCCGCUACAAGCUCACCUUCACCAUGGGUGACCAGACCUACAACGAGAUGGGGGAUGUGGACCA